UACAGAGGUCCCAAGCGUUGUUCGGAUUCAUUGGGCGUAAAGGGUGCGUAGGUGGCGGGGUAAGUCGGAUGUGAAAUCUCGGGGCUCAACCCCGAAACUGCAUUCGAUACUGCUCUGCUCGAGUACUGGAGAGGAGAUCGGAAUUUACGGUGUAGCAGUGAAAUGCGUAGAUAUCGUAAGGAAGACCAGUGGCGAAGGCGGAUCUCUGGACAGUUACUGACGCUGAGGCACGAAAGUGUGGGGAUCAAACAGG
rnacentral:rRNA from 1 species